rnacentral:rRNA from 1 species
AGUGAACGCUGGCGGUAGGCCUAACACAUGCAAGUCGAACGGCAGCACAGUAAGAGCUUGCUCUUACGGGUGGCGAGUGGCGGACGGGUGAGGAAUACAUCGGAAUCUACUUUUUCGUGGGGGAUAACGUAGGGAAACUUACGCUACUACCGCAUACGACCUACGGGUGAAAGCAGGGGAUCUUCGGACCUUGCGCGAUUGAAUGAGCCGAUGUCGGAUUAGCUAGUUGGCGGGGUAAAGGCCCACCAAGGCGACGAUCCGUAGCUGGUCUGAGAGGAUGAUCAGCCACACUGGAACUGAGACACGGUCCAGACUCCUACGGGAGGCAGCAGUGGGGAAUAUUGGACAAUGGGCGCAAGCCUGACCCAGCCAUACCGCGUGGGUGAAGAAGGCCUUCGGGUUGUAAAGCCCUUUUGUUGGGAAAGAAAAGCAGCAGGUUAAUACCCCGCUGUUCUGACGGUACCCAAAGAAUAAGCACCGGCUAACUUCGUG